UGUGCAUCCGUCUGUGUAUACCGUUGUCUCCUGCUUGUAUCAUCACCCCCUCCCCUCUUAGGCAUCGCAUCCUUGCGCGCACACACGCACACACAAACACACGUUUUGGGCGCCGGCACCUCGACGUCUUCACGCGUCUCCUUACGUGGCUUUGCAGAUCAGCUCACUCACGUGUGCGCUCGUCGGUACUUGUGUGUGUGUGUGGUGGACAGACUGUUCCAGCGGAGUCUCGUCCUCUUCCACAGCAGCGCCCCUCGCCCGCGCUGCGCCUGACGUUGCUUACCCAUCGAAGCAGGACUGCACAUCCCCUGCCUGAGCAACGUCUGUGUGUGUGUGUGUGUGUUUGCCGGGAGGCCUUUCCCGUUGACCUUCCAUAUCCCUCAUCACAUAUAGAGUCGUAUAUAUGUAUAUGUGUGUAUGCAUAGCCGCAGCGCCCAUCUCCUCUCCCGACUCUCCCCCCCCCAAAAAAAAACACACGCAGGCCCUCCCAUUCCUUCUAACGCAGUUGCCUGUCGAAGCCAUCUCUUCACGCAUCCACAACCUCAACGCCUCCUAUUAUUCCGCAAGGCCCUUCUCCACGGCUUCUCCCCCCCCUCUUCUGGUGUCCAGUCCGUUUUCCUUCUCCCACGUGAGACCCUCCACCUCGAUCUGGGCGUGUGCGCGCGCCUUGCCAGCGUGUCUUCGCGCUUGUAUUUCUCUCUUCCGUCUCGAGCACGCGCAUACAAGAAGAAGGAAGCCGCUUCAGCACCAGCACUCAGUCGCAAAACCCUUUAGCCGACCAUGAUCUACCGCUCCACUCCCCGGGCGGAGUCGCCGUCGCACCAGCAGCUGUACAAGGCGCACACAGAGUCCACCCCGCGCUGCACAAGCUCCGUGACCCCGACGCGCAACAGCUUUUCCCUCUCCAUGAUUCCACGCGCGCAGUCGCCGCACAGCAGCAGCCGUUUGAUGUCGACCUCUGCAAACGGCGUGCGCUCGAAGAGCAGGCGUUUGGAAGACACGGUAUACGUAGCAGAUGUGAACCCCACGUACUCUGUGGCCGCAGCGGUGCGCUGCAUCGCCCCUGUGAACGACCGCGUCAUGUGGACAGCCGAGUACAGCGGAACGCUCUGCAUUCGUUCUUUACCCAAGGGCACCCCACUGAAGGAGCUGCCGGGCCGCGAGGGCUCCUACUGCAUCUCCCUCCUGUACCUCCCGAGCGAGGAUGUGGUGUGGGCUGGGUUCCAGGACGGCUACCUGCACGUGUACAGCGCCAAGAACACGGACCUGCUCAAGGAGAUGAUGGCGCACGGCGGCGGAUUGAACUGCAUGAUCGAGGUCGAGGGAUCCGUCUUUACAGGGGGUGGAAACUGGAAGUUGUGCCAGUGGGACCCGACCGAUUGUAAUGCCCAGCUCCAGCGCAGUCUGCACGGCCACAGCGGCGGCGUUCGCUGCCUUGUCCUGUACAACGGGCCCACAGGUGCCGUCAUCUUCUCCGGUAGUGACGACGGCACAGUGCGAGCGUGGGACCCGUACGAGUCGCUGCCUGGCCAGGAGAACACCGAGGCCAACAUCCACACCUUCACCGGGCACAGCCGCGCCGUGCUGGCGUUGGCGGUCGUGCCGCACGCGAGCCAGCUGUGGUCCGCCGGCGAGGACUUGACGCUGCGAGUGUGGGACAUGCGCUCGCUUUCGUGUCUCGCGGUCUGCCGAGGCAACCACACCGCACCGAUCUCGAACUUGAUGGUGGUCGAGUCGCGCGUUUGGUCGGCCGACAAGCACGGCCACAUUCUGAUUUGGGACAUUGCAACACGGUCGCUGCUGCAGGACCUUUCGGAACGCGUGCCGUACUACGGCCUCGAGAAGGGUAUGGUGCUCGCCAUGCAGAAAGUGCAGCCAACCACGGCGUACAAGGUGUGGACGGCCUCCUCCAACGGUGUUUUGCAGUGCUGGAACGCCGAGACGGUGCCGAUCAUCUUCGACGACGUGCCCGUCUUCGGUAGCGUCUUCAAAGCCCCCAGCGCAGGGCCGGCAGCGCCGCAGGUCAUUACCGCUGGCAUCGGGCGCAGCGCAUCAGCAACACCGGCCGUCGGUACUUCUGCGGACGUUGUGUGCAGUUCGGCUGUGACCUUGGCGUCCUCAAACAAUUACAGAGACACGCUCAGCAGCAGCCACAGCAAGGACAACUUACCCGUAUCGGCCCCCACCACGCAGGUGCAGGAGUACAUUCGCAGCCUGCAGGACGAGUUGGAGGCGACGAAGCGAGACGCGAAGCUCAACUACGAGAAAUACCGCAUGGAAGCUCAGUGCGAGAUCGAGACGCAGCAGCUGCUUGCGCAGGAGAACGAUCGCCUGCGUGGCCUCGUCCAAGAGCUCGAGAAGCGUGCCGGUGAGCCUCCAGAGGGGUUGGACGCGCCGGUGCAGGUGCCGCAGGGCGCUGCCUCCCAUCACAUGAUGGAGGAGGAGGUGGCGCGUCUCCAAAGCGUGCUCAUCGAUACGCAGCGUCAGCUGGACGAAGCUCUGGAGCGGCAGCUUGAGCUCGAGGCCGAGCUCGACCGGUACAAGCCUGCGUCGUCGUCUCUGCACAUGUCGAGCAUGGCCAUCUCACCGAAGAGCGCCGCGCCAGACCCGUACCGGCAGUUUAUGCGCCAGGACGGAAUGGCCAAGCUGCCAAGCACAGUCGACGACGCGUGCAGCGACAGCCACUUCAGCUCUGUCUCACCCAGCGGGCCAGUGAACACCAGCACGAACCCGCUCAAUGCGUUUCUCUUCAUGUCCUGCCAAGACGACGGAGAGAGCGCAAGCCACUCCGGCGUGCCGGUGGAGCACACCCGCCUCUCUCGCCGCUUCAAAGGCGGCAACUGGUCAUACAUCAUGGAGGAGAAGCCGCAUGAGCUGCGCAGCACCUUUAUCGCAGACUUCUGUGCGGGCGUCGGUGUAGCACCGACGCAGCUGGAGCGGGUGGACCUGAGCCUCGGCAGCCUUGUCGCUGAGGUCGAGGUGGUGCAUCCAGCGAACGUGCCAUCGGCGGAACUAGAGCGGCGCAUGCAGACCUACCGCUUCCCUGCCCUCAUGCGUCUCCACACAGACGCCUUCACGGCAGCCAAGACGCCCCCGGACACCGCAGUUGCCACAAUCAACGACCUUCAGCGGCAACUAGCGAUGGCGCAGGAGCAGCGCCGUGUGCAGCCAUCGCCGGAGCCGCAGCAGCCCAGCAGCAACGACAACAGUUGCCACAGCGAAGGUAGGAUCAGCGCCUCGGAGUGGCAGCGGCUGAAGGACCAGAACAACACCCUCCGUGACACCCUGCAGCGUCAGAUUAAGCUCAUCAACGACCUCAAGAACGAGUCUGCGGAGAAGGAUGUUAAGCUGGCCGAUGCGCGUGCGCAUCUGCAAGACGCGGAGAAGAGACUGCAGGAGGCCCAGGAACAGCAGCAGGACAGAACACCAAGAGCGUCACGGCAGCGUGCUCUCAACUCGACCGGGGCCUACACAGAGAAUUACGGCCGCGAUCCACCGCACGUCGAUGGAACGGCUCGCAAGGAGGCCUCAGAGUUUGAGCGGAUGGGAGAGCUGGUUGCGGUGCCUCUGGCGCAGGAGAUGGUUGCCGCCGCGGGGCGGGCACGAUUGCCCCCAACAGCGGUCGGCGCCGGCGAUGACGAAGAUCAUGAGGCUCUCAAGAGGUACCUGCAUGAGCAGCUCAAGCCGAUGGUAUCGCGCCUGAAGCGCGAGCAGGGUGAACUGCAGCUGGACAACGGAAAUAUGAAGAAAAGGAUUGAGGAGCUGACUGCGCAGGUGCAGCAGCAGCAGAAGCAGCUGGAGUCCGAGCGUCAGAAGAAGGCGCCCGUGUCACCGGUGGUUGCCAGCGAAGCCUCAGACGAGGAGGUGCAGAAACUCCGCGAGGAUCACGAAGCGCUGAACAACUAUCUGCAUGAGCAGCUGAAGCCGACGAUCUCGCGUCUGAAGCGCGAGAAGGGUGAACUGCAGCUAGACCUGUCGCGCUCCCGGGAGGACUUGCAGAGGGCGUGCGACAUGUACGACGGGGCCGCCGCCGCGCUGGAGGAGGAGCACGUGCGAGAGGAGAAGAUGGGCGAGGCGAUGGAGGCGCUGCGGAAAGCUUUGGAAGCGGAGCAGUUGAAGAACCAGACGUCGAGGGAAGAGGCCGCAGCCGCGGCUGCCUCGAACGACAGCCACGCCGCGAGCUCUGCAACCUGUCAGGGUUUUGAGAUACUUACCGGGCGGCCUACGCAGCCGACGCAGCUGCGCAGCUGUGGCGGCUCCGCUGAGCCGCGCAAAGAGGACGCCGAGAAGGACCCUCUCGAUAAGCUCGUGGCGCUUAACCUAGACCUCUCUGUCCGUCUGGCAGAUGCGGAGACGGUCAUUGCGCAGCUGCAAAACUCGCUGGCCUGCUCCUCCAGCCAGAUGGCUGAGCAGCGCGAUGAGACGCGGCGGCUGCUGAGCAAGAUCCAGCAAUAUCAGCAGAGCGGGACGCGGUCACCCGACUCGAGCGGGGCGGGUCGGUGCUCCAGUAUCGAUAACGUUGUGAGCAGCGCGUCACCCUCCAAAUCGCCGUCGCAGAACCGCCAGUGACGACAGCGGUUGUGUGGGUGUUCGCGGGAACCCCUUGCCCUGGAGCCUCUGUGCGGUGCCGGAAUCCUCUCUCCUCCUCGUCUGUGGGUGGGUGUGUGUGUGUGUCGGGCGCAGCGGCUUUUCUUGUGUCUUUUUGCAUCUUCUUUAGGGUGCGCGCUGGCGCGGUAUCUCCUCUUCCUCGUGAACUGCCGUCAUGUGCACCUGUAACUCGCAUACGUCUCCGUCAGGUAUCCACCGGUUGUCGGCUUCCCCCGUUGGCGUGUAUGGCCUUCGGUGUGCUUCUGCUGUUCUGCGAGUUACCGUUGAUGUUGCCUAUUCCCCCUCCUCCAUCUUCUCGGUCACUGAUCCGCCACCUGCGUCCUUUCUGUUUUCUUGCGUACGUGUACGUGCGUAUGUAUCUGCAUACAAAUCACCAACACCCACCCACCCUCACCACCCGACACACAUCUGCAGGAACCUCAUCUUCGUCUGCUUCUUCCUUCUUCCCUCACCGUUUCUCUGUGUUCGCCACCACCACUCCAGCUGCACUUGUCAUCAUCAUAGACCGCGUUGCUUUUUUUUGUUUUGCUUUUUUUUUUUCGUUGCGUCCACCUCCUUCCCGCCCUCCUGCUCCCCUGCCCCGCCCUCUCGCUCCCGUACUGUGUGGCUAUCCUCCGCGCUCCUGGCCUUCUCUCGUCCCCGCUCUUCCGCCUUCAGGGUCGUCAAGAGUGUCUUGUGUCUCCGGUGACCACACGUGUGGGGUGUGCCGGAUGCCGUCCGCGCGGAUGGUAGCGGUACCGAGCACGGCUGCGUUUGAGGAAAACUUCGACGACGGAAAGAGCACGAGCGACAACGCAAACGCCCCGCCGCAGACGAAAGCGAAAGGCCGGGAGGGAGAGCAAGGUUCUGUGCGGAUCUGUACAACUGCGGCGGUGUCGGCGGCGCAACUCGACCGCUGGCACGUUUGUGUGUGUGUGUGUGUGUAUGUGUGUCUUCUGCAUGUUCCUCUUCUGUCUUUUUUUUUGUGGUCGUUUCCUUGUAGAGACGUGUAACACACACCUGCGCCACCAUCGGCAAGUACGAACAACAUGUGCAACAACGCAAGCCAAGUCAAGCGGCGGGGCAGAAAGACGGGUGUGGAUCGUACCACGGCGCCUACACAGGACGCAAAGAGGGCCGAGGUCAUGGCAUAUGGGUAGGCUGGUGGUAGUGGUGGUGGUGAGGUGUACUAUAGAAGCGGCCGUACGCGGAGAGUGGAACAUCAGUGUCGUUAUCAGCCAUCUUCUAUAUUCCCUCG
rnacentral:misc_RNA from 1 species